UAGGACAACACUGUUAUCAACGUGCACAAAGUUUUAUAUCUGCCAAAGGAAGAUAUCAUCUAAGACCACGGAUGGAUAACCAGAAAAAGAUCAGAGGGCUGUGCUACUGGCACCCAGCAGCUGUACAAACAGUUUUUCAUCCGGACCAGUGUUUCCUGGCUAUGCUUGAUUGAACACAGAUCACCACCGUGAACAUGUACCACCAGGAAGGAAAUCCAACUAAAGCUCCACUCACUUCCGCUGCCAGACCACACUCCUCCUACUGACCUCACUUUCACCAAGGACCCGCCUCUUCCUGCCAACCACCUAUAAAGAUCCAGUCACUUCACCUUCAGUUACUAUAAGUAAAAGGAACAUUUAAAUGACAAA